ACUGAACUAUUGUAGCUUAGUCUCAUUUUGGUUGGAUGGACCCUACAGUGUUCUGUAACUGAACUAUUGUAGCUCAGUCUCAUUUUGGUUGGAUGGACCCUACAGUGUUCUGUAACUGAACUAUUGUAGCUCAGUCUCAUUUUGGUUGGAUGGACCCUACAGUGUUCUGUAACUGAGAGGGUUUGUGUAUUUGUUGUGUAUAACUAGUGUGACUCGUACAACCUGUGCUGCCUGCUUUGUCACUUUCAAAUGUCACUCCUCUCUCUUUAGAGGGAGGUAGCUACUAGCUAGGUAGCGUGUUGUGUUCCAGGCUAGAGGGUGGUAGCUAUUAGCUAGGUAGCGUGUUGUGUUCCAGGCUAGAGGGUGGUAGCUACUAGCUAGGUAGCGUGUUGUGUUCCAGGCUAGAGGGUGGUAGCUACUGGCUACUGUUAGAUAUGUCAUGGAUAUAUGACGCUCACUCUCUCAGCUCACUGCAGGUUCUACAGGUUUACAUGCAGUGUGUCCUGCCAGUGCUUUCACACCACCAUCAACCAGGCUUUAAUGUAUCCAGAACGGUCACAGCGUCACACCAACUGCUAGGCUAAACUCCAUGAUCUCAACCUAUUGUUCACUCACACAUCCCCUCUUCAACACAGUGACC
rnacentral:lncRNA from 1 species